rnacentral:lncRNA from 1 species
CCCAAAACAUGUUUGAUAUUUUAAAUAUUUUGACUCUGGUACCAGUCGAAGACAGUCUUCAACUGCACAUCACAUGUGGCGCGGGCUCAGUCCCAAUACAUAGGGUGACACCCGCGCGUGCCUAUCAAAGCACUCAUCAUAUGAGCCUCCGGGUGGAGAGCCACGCUUCGUCACACGAUCACGCGUGAGAGUUUCCGAAAAUCGGAUAGUCUCCCCUAAUCCUUUGCUUUGACACCAAAUAUCACAAAGCCCUCAGAUCCCGAGGAUUGUGUGAUUCAAAUAAACAUGCAUAAAUCACAACUUCUUGUGAUUUGAAGAUUGAGAUCAUAUCUCAACCAUAAAAGAGAUCAGAUCUCUUACCUUUAGAAGGGGGUUCCUUCAAGGAUGCUUCGCAGCCGCACAAGUGUCCGGCCUCGAUGACUCGUCCACGCAAAGCUCCGGAAUAAUCAGCUUCCCGGGAAGUGCUAGCUCGCAGGGAGGCAGAAGGUUGGCUGAAAGGGAGAAGAAGGAAGAAGAUGGACCUUCACAGCUCAAGAACUCCUUCUUGGGCUUUCACCUUCAGAACUACUAUCUCCUCUCACUCUUUCUCUGGUGCUCUUGAUCUUGUUCAGAAGAAGGAAGAGGGGUGGUCUAUUUAUAGGCCAAGAAGAGGGUGAGGUGUCCCUAUGAGGUGUCCAGGACACAUGUCACACAUACAAGGAAAAGAGGUGU